rnacentral:lncRNA from 1 species
AGUGGCCAAUUCUUGGAUGAGAACCAGGUAUCGCCUGGCUGAGAGGACGGCAGUCAUUACUGGGAACCGAGGACUUUCUCAGAAGCCUGAGGAGGAUCAGGUGCAGCAUUCGUCCGAGUCCUGAAAUAACUGGCUUCCUGACUACAAGGGGUGGACAUAUGGCAGCCAGGAAAGAGAUUGAUGGAAAUGGUCUCCGAUGUCUGGGCAGAGCUUUUCUAGUCUUCUCUGAGAAGAACAACAUUCUUGGUAGACCACAGGCCUGGCUGUAAAACCCUGUGCAUGGAAAGGAUGAAGAACCAGAUGAGAGGAUGUGUCAAUAACACCCUGUAUUCAUUUUCUGUUGCUGCUGUAACAAAUUACCACAAACUUUGUGGCUUAAAACUACACAAAUUUAUU